GCGAGCUACAUGCAGGGAAACUUGCACGUGUGGUUCUGGCCGGGUACCCCGGUAUACUGUAC
rfam:Corchorus olitorius cultivar O-4 contig11800, whole genome shotgun sequence.